GGAGGAUCCAAGCGUUAUCCGGAAUCAUUGGGUUUAAAGGGUCCGUAGGCGGUUUAGUAAGUCAGUGGUGAAAGCCCAUCGCUCAACGGUGGAACGGCCAUUGAUACUGCUGAACUUGAAUUACUGGGAAGUAACUAGAAUAUGUAGUGUAGCGGUGAAAUGCUUAGAUAUUACAUGGAAUACCAAUUGCGAAGGCAGGUUACUACCAGUUUAUUGACGCUGAUGGACGAAAGCGUGGGGAGCGAACAGGAUUAGAUACCCUGGUAGUCCACGCCGUAAACGAUGGAUACUAGCUGUUGGGCGCAAGUUCAGUGGCUAAGCGAAAGUGAUAAGUAUCCCACCUGGGGAGUACGAACGCAAGUUUG
rnacentral:rRNA from 1 species